rnacentral:misc_RNA from 1 species
AACGCACAUUGCGCCCUCUGGCAUUCCGGGGGGCAUGCCUGUCCGAGCGUCAUUUCUGCCCCUCAAGCACGGCUUGUGUGUUGGGCCGCCGUCCCUUCCCGCGGGGAGGGACGGGCCCGAAAGGCAGCGGCGGUGCCGCGUUUCCGGUCCCUGAGCGUAUGGGGCUCUGUCACCCGCUCUGGAGGUGCCGGCCGGUGCCCGCCUACCCGUCAGACAUCUUCCAAGGUUGACCUCGGAUCAGGUAGGGAUACCCGCUGAACUUAA